rnacentral:ncRNA from 1 species
UAAGGGCAAAACUGUUGAGAAGCAGUGACGCAAAGCCUCAGAUCCUAAUUUUUGUUUGGAAAAUAGGAAACAAAAAAAGGAUAGCUGGGCUACAA